rnacentral:rRNA from 1 species
UACAGAGGGGGCAAGCGUUGUUCGGAAUUACUGGGCGUAAAGGGCGCGUAGGCGGCCUUCUAAGUCGAACGUGAAAUCCCCGGGCUCAACCCGGGAACUGCGUCCGAGACUGAAAGGCUCGAAUCCGGGAGAGGGAUGUGGAAUUCCAGGUGUAGCGGUGAAAUGCGUAGAUAUCUGGAGGAAUACCGGUGGCGAAGGCGGCAUCCUGGACCGAUAUUGACACUGAUGAGCGAAAGCCAGGGGAGCAAA